AGUGAACGCUGGCGGCAGGCCUAAUACAUGCAAGUCGAACGGCAGCACAGUGGAGCUUGCUCCAUGGGUGGCGAGUGGCGGACGGGUGAGGAAUACAUGGGAAUCUGCCCAGUCGUGGGGGAUAACGUAUGGAAACGUACGCUAAUACCGCAUGCGCCCUUCGGGGAAAGGUCGGGGACCGGCAAGGCCUGACGCGAUUGGAUGAGCCCAUGUUCGAUUAGCUAGUUGGCGGGGUAACGGCCCACCAAGGCGACGAUCGAUAGCUGGUCUGAGAGGAUGAUCAGCCACACUGGAACUGAGACACGGUCCAGACUCCUACGGGAGGCAGCAGUAGGGAAUAUUGGACAAUGGCGCAAGCCUGAUCCAGCCAUGCCGCGUGAGUGAAGAAGG
rnacentral:rRNA from 1 species